AUCCAGCUGACUAGUCCCUAAUGGGACGAAAUGCGCGUUGUCCUGGAU
rnacentral:hammerhead_ribozyme from 1 species